AUAACGACUCUCGGCAACCGAUAUCUCGGUUCUCGCAUCGAUGAAGAACGUAGCGAACUGCGAUACUUGGUGUGAAUUGCAGAAUCCCGUGAACCAUCGAGUCUUUGAACGCAAGUUGCGCCCGAAACCUCUGGUCGAGGGCACGUUUGCCUGGGUGUCACA
rnacentral:rRNA from 1 species